AGUGAACGCUGGCGGUAGGCCUAACACAUGCAAGUCGAACGGCAGCACAGUAAGAGCUUGCUUUUAGGGGUGGCGAGUGGCGGACGGGUGAGGAAUACAUCGGCAUCUACUUUUUCGUGGGGGAUUACGGAGGGAAACUGACGCUAAUACCUCAUACGAGCUACGGGUGAAAGCAUGGUAUCUUCGGACCUUGCCCGCUCGAAUGAGCCGAUGUCCGUUUUGUUAGUUGGCUGGUAAAGGACCCACCAAGGCACGGAUCCGUACCUGGUCUGCAAGGAGGGUCAGCCACACUGGAACGGAGACCCGGUCCAGACUCCUACGGGGGGCAGCAGUGGGGAAUAUUGGACAAUGGGCGAAAGCCUGAUCCAGACAGACCGCGUGGGGGAAGAAGGCCUUCGGGUGUUAAAGCCCUUUUGUUGGGAAAGAAAAGCAGCAGGUUAAUACCCCGCUGUUCUGACGGUACCCAAAGAAUAAGCACCGGCUAACUUCGUG
rnacentral:rRNA from 1 species